AUGACGGAGUUCCACCCGCAGUGCGUCACGAACGCGCCGGUCGCGGCGUGCCGCAGCACCUCCACCUGCGGCGCCCACAUCUUCACGACCAUCCCCCUCGCGGCCGUCCUAUCCAAGAACCCAUCGGGGAGGAGCGCAUUCAGGUCUGGCUCUGGGCGCGGCAGGAAGUAUUUGGCCGGGUCCUCGGGCGGGCUCCGCACGACCCACAGGAAGCGGUGGCCGGAGUUCUCGAGCCCGCGCGCUAUCUCCUUGAGCUGCGCCGCCGACAUCGCGCCCAAGCUGCCGAAGCAGAGGAACACCACGCUCCGCUCCGGCUGCGCGUCCAGCCACGACAAGCACGCGCUCUGCGCUCGCGGAGCCGCCGCCUCGCCUUUCACGAUCAGUGGCCCGAUGCAGUACACCGGCGGGGUCGGGCGGCCAGGGACACAGGCGCCCUCCCGGAGCGCCCUCACGGCCCUCGCCUCCAGCCGCUCGUAG
rnacentral:rRNA from 1 species